GUCUUUCGAUCUGAAAUACUCGAACACCUCCAGCGACAAAAUGCAAACGCUUUACAUGAUGAUCGUCUUGAACAUGGCCCGAGAAGAGCCACGACACUUUCUGGACGAGGAUGAGAAAACGA